UAAUACAUGCAAGUCGAGCGAGCGUGCCUAGAUGAUUUUAGUGCUUGCACUAAAUGAAACUAGAUACAAGCGAGCGGCGGACGGGUGAGUAACACGUGGGUAACCUGCCCAAGAGACUGGGAUAACACCUGGAAACAGAUGCUAAUACCGGAUAACAACACUAGACGCAUGUCUAGAGUUUGAAAGAUGGUUCUGCUAUCACUCUUGGAUGGACCUGCGGUGCAUUAGCUAGUUGGUAAGGUAACGGCUUACCAAGGCAAUGAUGCAUAGCCGAGUUGAGAGACUGAUCGGCCACAUUGGGACUGAGACACGGCCCAAACUCCUACGGGAGGCAGCAGUAGGGAAUCUUCCACAAUGGACGAAAGUCUGAUGGAGCAACGCCGCGUGAGUGAAGAAGGGUUUCGGCUCGUAAAGCUCUGUUGGUAGUGAAGAAAGAUAGAGGUAGUAACUGGCCUUUAUUUGACGGUAAUUACUUAGAAAGUCACGGCUAACUACGUGCCAGCACCGGCGGUAAUAC
rnacentral:rRNA from 1 species